CAAAUUACCUGGCAGGGGAAAUACCAUGGCCAAGAAGGUGAUUUUCCCAAGGUGAGGCUCACCCAAUGCACUUUGGGUGUGCUGACCCUUGAAAUUUCCCCAAAGUAGGGAAUCUCAUCUGCAUAAUAUGUAGUAGUGGGAGACUACAUUUGCACUCUCGCU
rfam:Alligator sinensis unplaced genomic scaffold scaffold332_1, whole genome shotgun sequence